rnacentral:rRNA from 1 species
GCUGCAGGAAUUCCCAAUACUAUCGAUACGGGUUGUGGGAGCAAGAGCCCGGAGAUGGAUUCUGAGACACGAAUCCAGGCCCUACGGGGCGCAGCAGGCGCGAAAACUUUACAAUGCAGGAAACUGUGAUAAGGGAACCCCGAGUGCCCGUAUGGACGGGCUGUUCAGGUGCUUAAAAACCACCUGGAGAAAGGGCCGGGCAAGACCGGUGCCAGCCGCCGCGGUAAUACCGGCGGCUCGAGUGGUGGCCACUAUUACUGGGCUUAAAGCGUCCGUAGCUUGGUCGUUAAGCCUCUGGGGAAAUCUUCCGGCUCAACCGGAAGGCGUCUCAGGGGAACUGGCGACCUAGGGAUCGGGAGAGGUGAGAGGUACUCUGGGGGUAGGAGUGAAAUCCUGUAAUCCUCAGGGGACCACCUGUGGCGAAGGCGUCUCACCAGAACGACUCCGACAGUGAGGGACGAAAGCUGGGGGAGCAAACCGGAUUAGAUACCCGGGUAGUCCCAGCCGUAAAC